UUUGGACAGCGGCGAACGGGUGAGUAACGCGUACACAAUCUACCUUUCAGUUUGGGAUAGCCCUGGGAAACUGGGAUUAAUACCGAAUAGUAUCAAGUAUUGGCAUCAAGACUUGAUUAAAGUUCCGGCGCUGAAAGAUGAGUGUGCGUACUAUUAGCUAGUUGGUAAGGUAAUGGCUUACCAAGGCUACGAUAGUUAGGGGGCGUGAGAGCGUGACCCCCCACACGGGUACUGAGACACGGACCCGACUCCUACGGGAGGCAGCAGUAAGGAAUAUUGGACAAUGGGCGCAAGCCUGAUCCAGCCAUCCCGCGUGGAGGAUGACUGCCCUACGGGUUGUAAACUCCUUUUAUUAGAGAAGAAACCUCUCAAUUUAUUGAGAGCUGACGGUAUCUUAUGAAUAAGCACCGGCUAACUCCGUGCCAGCAGCCGCGGUAAUACGGAGGGUGCAAGCGUUAUCCGGAAUCACUGGGUUUAAAGGGUGCGUAGGUGGUUUGGUAAGUCAGAUGUGAAAGCCCGGCGCUUAACGUCGGAAUUGCAUUUGAUACUGCUAAACUUGAAUCAGGUUGAGGUGGGCGGAAUGUGGCAUGUAGCGGUGAAAUGCAUAGAUAUGCCAUAGAACACCAAUUGCGAA
rnacentral:rRNA from 1 species